UACGUAGGGUGCGAGCGUUAAUCGGAAUUACUGGGCGUAAAGCGUGCGCAGGCGGCGCGUUAAGACAGGUGUGAAAGCCCCGAGCUUAACUUGGGAAUUGCGCUUGUGACUGGCGUGCUGGAGUGUGGCAGAGGGAGGUGGAAUUCCACGUGUAGCAGUGAAAUGCGUAGAGAUGUGGAGGAACACCGAUGGCGAAGGCAGCCUCCUGGGCCAGCACUGACGCUCAGGGACGAAAGCUAGGGGAGCGAAUGGG
rnacentral:rRNA from 1 species